CUGUUGUUUGCAAGUUGUGUCUGUUGGCAUUCCCAUAGAGAGGGAAGGAAGAUAAAGAGCAAGAAAAUGGAAUUAUCUAUAAACUAGUAUCCAUAUCUUUAU